UAUUUCCACCUAGUAAUGGCUCAUGCCAGUAGAGAUAGUGUCAUAAAAAUGUUAUAUAGUUCAUAGCUAAGCAGUAGUGAAAACCUCCCAAGAGACAUAAGAAUUUCACUGAGUUAACGUAGUUAAAGCUACUUAGAAAAGAAUGUGCAGAGUUGAAAUGGAUGCAGUCAUCACUGAGUGUUGAGGUGGUAAAUGACAGACACUGGAAGGUGUUUAAUGAAUCCUGCCAAAUUCACUUCAAACCUCCAAAUAAU
rnacentral:lncRNA from 1 species